rnacentral:rRNA from 1 species
AUUGAACGCUGGCGGUAGGCCUAACACAUGCAAGUCGAACGCGAAAGUCCUUCGGGAUGAGUAGAGUGGCGGACGGGUGAGUAACGCGUAGGAAUCUAUCCUGUAGUGGGGGAUAACGUUUCGAAAGGAACGCUAAUACCGCAUACGCCCCAAGGGGGAAAGCGGGGGAUCUUCGGACCUCGUGCUAUAGGAGGAGCCUGCGUCGGAUUAGCUAGUUGGUGAGGUAAAGGCUCACCAAGGCGACGAUCCGUAGCUGGUCUGAGGGGAUGAUCAGCCACACCGGAACUGAGACACGGUCCGGACUCCUACGGGAGGCAGCAGUGGGGAAUAUUGCGCAAUGGGCGAAAGCCUGACGCAGCCAUACCGCGUGUGUGAAGAAGGCCUUCGGGUUGUAAAGCACUUUCAGUGGGGAGGAAAAGCUGGUGGCUAAUAUCCAUCGGCCGUGACGCUACCCACAGAAGAAGCACCGGCUAAUUCCGUGCCAGCCGCCGCGGUAAUAC